CCUACGGGUGGCAGCAGUGAGGAAUAUUGGUCAAUGGACGCGAGUCUGAACCAGCCAUGCCGCGUGCAGGAUGACGGCUCUAUGGGUUGUAAACUUCUUUUGUACGAGAGUAAACGCAGACACGCGUAUCUUUCUGAAAGUAUCUUAUGAAUAAGGAUCGGCUAACUCCGUGCCAGCAGCCGCGGUAAUACGGAGGAUUCAAGCGUUAUCCGGAUUUAUUGGGUUUAAAGGGUGCUUAGGCGGUCGGAUAAGUUAGUGGUGAAAGCUCGAGGCUCAACUUCGGAAUUGCCGCUGAUACUGUUCGGCUAGAGAGUAGUUGAGGUAGGCGGAAUGUAUGGUGUAGCGGUGAAAUGCUUAGAGAUCAUACAGAACACCGAUUGCGAAGGCAGCUUACCAAGCUACUACUGACGUUGAGGCACGAAAGCGUGGGUAGCAAACAGGAUUAGAUACCCUUGUAGUC
rnacentral:rRNA from 1 species